rnacentral:rRNA from 1 species
CCUACGGGAGGCAGCAGUGGGGAAUUUUGGACAAUGGGCGCAAGCCUGAUCCAGCUAUUCCGCGUGUGGGAAGACGGCCUUCGGGUUGUAAACCACUUUUGUAGAGAACGAAAAGUCUGUUGAUAAUACCGAUAGAUGAUGACGGUACUCUAAGAAUAAGCACCGACUAACUACGUGCCAGCAGCCGCGGUAAUAAGGAGGGUGCGGUCGUUAAUCGAAAUUACUGGGCGUAAAAGGUGUGCAGGCGGUUUUGCAAGAUGGUUGUGAAAGCCCCGGGCUUAACCUGGGAAAGCCAUACAUGACUGCAAGACUAGAGUGCGUCAGGGGGGGGUGGAAUUCCAAGUGUAGCAGUGAAAUGCGUAGAUAUUUGGAAGAACACCGAUGGCGAAGGCAGCCCCCUGGGACGCAACUGACGCUCAUACACGAAAGCGUGGGGAGCAAACAGGAUUAGAUACCCGUGUAGUC